rfam:Beta vulgaris subsp. vulgaris Bvchr9.sca026.con0194.1, whole genome shotgun sequence.
GGUUGAUGAUGAUAAAGUUUAAGGCUUGUUUCUCAAAACAUUCGCAGUGGCCGACUAAGAGCUUUCGUCUGCGCAGACUUGAGAGCUAAUGCUGCUUUUAUCCUUCCUUGGAUGUCUGAAACC